AACGUUACCAAACUGUUGCCUCGGCGGGAUCUUCUGCCCCGGGUGCGUCGCAGCCCCGGACUAAGGCGCCCGCCGGAGGAAUCAACCAAAACUCUUAUUGUAUACCCCCUCGCGGGUUUUUUUUAUAAUCUGAGCCUUCUCGGCGCCUCUCGUAGGCGUUUCGAAAAUGAAUCAAAACUUUCAACAACGGAUCUCUUGGUUCUGGCAUCGAUGAAGAACGCAGCGAAAUGCGAUAAGUAAUGUGAAUUGCAGAAUUCAGUGAAUCAUCGAAUCUUUGAACGCACAUUGCGCCCGCCAGUAUUCUGGCGGGCAUGCCUGUCCGAGCGUCAUUUCAACCCUCGAACCCCUCCGGGGGGUCGGCGUUGGGGAUCGGCCUUCCUUCACGGGGGCCGUCUCCGAAAUACAGUGGCGGUCUCGCCGCAGCCUCUCCUGCGCAGUAGUUUGCACACUCGCAUCGGGAGCGCGGCGCGUCCACAGCCGUUAAACACCCAACUUUCUGAAAUGUUGACCUCGGAUCAGGUAGGAAUACCCGCUGAACUUA
rnacentral:rRNA from 1 species